rnacentral:rRNA from 1 species
AAUCAACGCUGGCGGCGUGCCUAACACAUGCAAGUCGCACGAGAAAGGGACUUCGGUCCUGAGUACAGUGGCGCACGGGUGAGUAACACGUGAAUCAUCUACCUUCGAGUGGGGAAUAACUGAGAGAAAUCUUAGCUAAUACCGCAUAAUACCUACGGGUCAAAGCAGCAAUGCGCUUGAAGAGGAGUUCGCGGCAGAUUAGUUAGUUGGCAGGGUAAUGGCCUACCAAGACGAUGAUCUGUAUCCGGCCUGAGAGGGCGCACGGACACACUGGAACUGAAACACGGUCCAGACUCCUACGGGAGGCAGCAGUGGGGAAUUUUGCGC